rnacentral:rRNA from 1 species
AAAAGUGAGGAUGAUCGACCGCGGCGAGCCCCAGCCCACCCGCCACAGACAGACACGAAGGGACGCAGCAAACCGACCGCACCAGGCAGCACAACCACCAGCCCCCCAASCGAAGACUCGUACGAAAGACUCGACGAAAUAUAAACUGUCUCUGAUUUAUAAUUAGAAUUUAAUUUUUUAGUUAAAAAGCUGAAAUAAUUUUAAAAGACGAGAAGACCCUAUAGAGUUUUAUAAUUUUUUUUUUUUGAUAUUUAUAUAAAAUUUUAAUAUUAAAAAUUACAAAUUAUUUUAUUGGGGUGAUAAAAAAAUUAAAAAAACUUUUUUUUUUUUUUUUCGUUAAAAAAUGAAUAGUUGAUCCUAAAAAAAAAUUAUGAAAAAAAAGACUCCAAUGAUAACCGCCCUAAAAUGUCGUGGGUCGCAUGGAUAAACCCUCGACUGUUGAAGGCGAACCGAGAUAACGAGAAACGUAUGAGUUCUUAGUGUAGAUCCACGAGAUUAUG